AACAGAUGAAUGAUCUCAUAGGACAGGUUUGUGGGAACCUCUCACCUCUUUAUUCUCCCCCCUUGCUGUUGGCUGAAGAAACCUCAUAGCAUCUAUUAGGACCACACCCUCUCUGGGUCUCACGCUUGCAGGUGAUUUCUCAGCCUCCAGAACUCUGAUAGAAUGCAUUUCUGUUCUUAGAACCCCUCAAGUGGGGUGCUUUGCGAUGGCAGCACAAGUGAACUAAGACAUCGUGACCCUUGCCUCUCCCUCUUCAUUCCUCUUCUCUAUUCCCUGCUUGUCAGCCCCACCCAGCUCUCUGAGUCAGGUCCAUGGACCCAGCUACCAUGUUCCUGUCAGCACCGAAAUCCACCUCUCCAUUUAUGGCCGUUCUCCGGGAGACAUAUCUGUCGUCCUCCCAACAGCUAUAUUAAUGCCACUCGUCUUGUUUGUCGCGCCCACAUGAGUUGAGAAGGCUGACAUUCUCCACUAGCUGUUAUUUCCACAACAGGAUGAAACAGGCAUACCAAGGACAAAAGAGGCCAUAUGCUACAUUGAGAAGAGCACUCACUGGAAACUCAAGG